AGAAGAAAGAAGUCAGUGUAUCCAGUGAGACUGUAGAAAGCAUUUCUAGUGAGGAAUCCAUUACCCACAUCAAUAAG